rnacentral:rRNA from 1 species
UACGUAGGGGUGCGAGCGUUGUCCGGAAUUAUUGGGCGUAAAGGGCUCGUAGGCGGUCUGUCGCGUCGGGAGUGAAAACUCAGGGCUUAACCCUGAGCCUGCUUCCGAUACGGGCAGACUAGAGGUAUGCAGGGGAGAACGGAAUUCCUGGUGUAGCGGUGAAAUGCGCGAUAUCAGGAGGAACGACCGGUGGCGAAGGCGGUUCUUCUGGGCAUUACCUGACGCUGAGGAGCGAAAAUGUGGGGAGCGAACAGG